GAAAAUGAACUUAUGAUAAAAAUCCGGGAACGAUGAGUGAAGUCUCGCUAAAUGCUCGCAGACUGACUCAAAAAUGAGCAGUUACCGGACAAAAACCGAGCGACGACCAGAGUCAGGCAAAACUAUCACAAACGGACUUGACAAGAGCAUGAUACGCAAGAAACUCCGGAUCUCGUAAAGCACGAAUGCAAACAAUUUGCAGCAAGUCGAUUGCUGCAAUCAAAUUUGCACGUUUGCAUACGAGUGCAAACAUUUUGCUGCAAACAAAAAAUUUGCAAUAACUGUUUGCGGCAACUAUUUUAGCUUGUCGUCUGUAUACAGAAUUUUACGGAUAACUUGGUUGCGUCAGUUGCUUGCUUGUUUGCAUGUGCUGUUUGCUUUCAGUCGCAAUAUUGCAGCAAGCAAAGCAACAUGUGGGAUCGCGAGAAAACGAUAAAAUUAAUUGAUUUGUACGAGAAUUAUUCUGUUUUAUGGGAUGUCUCGUCACCAGACUAUAAAAAUAAGCAUAAAAAGCAAAAAGCUUAUCGCGAAAUUGCUGAAAAAUUAGACAAAAGUGAUGAAGAAAUAAAAACAAAAAUUCAUAAUUUACGCACUCAAUUUUUGCAAGAGGUGCGCAGAGUAAAGCAAAAAAAGAGUGGCCAGGUUACAUCGGAAACCUAUACCAGCAAAUGGGAGUUUUUUGAUGCGCUUAAAUUUAUUAAAAAUGACGACGGAAAUAAUUAUAAAAUUAAAAAUUUGGCGAAACAAAAAAUCCAAAGUACAUCCAAAGCAAAAAAAAGAAAUCGUGACGAGAUAGAAUUUAAGGACGAAGAUCGGCUUAUUAAAAAGGCAAGCGCUUUACUCGAUAAGACAGCGGAUGACCAUCAGGUGUUCGGAGAUUUCGUUGCAUCUGAGCUCAGAUUGUUGAAAUCACACCAAAAUAGACUUGUGCUUCGCAGAAAAAUUCAAAGAGCUAUUUUGGAAGUAUCGGAAAUUGAUAGCGAGGGCACUUCUACUUGUUCCACACCUAAUAUCGUGUACUCGUCUACCAAUUCUCCAGUUGUUGGCUUUUAAGAUGCUCGACAACACUUCUUCACAAUGCUUGCAACCGUACUCACAGGAAUGCGAAAAAGAAACAUCAGAGAAUGAUAUGAAUCACCUGAAAAAAAUUAAAUGACAUCAA
rnacentral:sRNA from 1 species